GUUAUUAUCUGAUGCAUGGGAUUGGGAUAUUGACGGAGGAAGUACUGAAAGUGGCUUGUCCACGUAUUGGAGGCUUUGCCUCAAUUUACUGUUAAUUGAGCAGCAAGGCUGCAACUGUGGAGUGUUGGGCUGGGUGGGUUGAGCUAUUCCCCACAUGGAGUGUAGGGCUGGUACGGGUGGAGUGUAGUGGUUGGUGGGUUGAGUAGUUUCCCCA
rnacentral:lncRNA from 1 species